UACGAGGGGGCUAGCGUUGUUCGGAAUUACUGGGCGUAAAGCGUGCGCAGGCGGUUUUGUAAGCCAGAUGUGAAAUCCCCGGGCUCAACCUGGGAAUGGCAUUUGGGACUGCAAGGCUGGAGUGCGGCAGAGGAGACUGGAAUUCCUGGUGUAGCAGUGAAAUGCGUAGAUAUCAGGAGGAAUACCGAUGGCGAAGGCAGGUCUCUGGGCUGACACUGACGCUCAUGCACGAAAGCGUGGGGAGCAAACAGG
rnacentral:rRNA from 1 species